ensembl:lncRNA
CGUUGCUACACAUACCCGAUGGUCCAGACUGACUAACUACUCUCUAACUUUUCCUACACACCACACACGCUAAACGAAUGAUGUAUAAUGUGAGCGAGGAAAGUGUAAAAAAACCGGAGGUGGGGGACAGUAAGGAGGAGGCGGAGGAGUAGAAGGUUGAUGAGGAGGAGCAGGAGGAGGAGGAGGAGGUGGAGCUGGACAGAAAAGGAGUUGGAGGGAAUGCCCUGAUGACAGUUCUCCCACUUUGUUUUUCCUCCUCGAAACGGACCAAGGCCAUGAUGUUCAAUCUCCUCCAUCGACCGGUGUCAUCAAAAGGGCUGCCAAUAUCCUGUCCUUCUUAAUUCGUGUGAUCCCAAUUCCCAUAAUUGCCCGGGUCUGCUUGACGAGCCAUCUAGCGCAGCUGCGCUGAACGUUCUUCCUCGAGGUCCCACCAACACUGCGGUCCCACUGUUGCCUCUACUGCGCUGAGGAGAGAGAGAGGAGAGGCUGCUGAAGGCCAUAUUUCCCCGCGGUGCAGAGCACUGCCCUGCCGCCUUGUGUAUGUGUGUGACGCAACCCGAAGCCAAC